UUGCACUCCUGGAGUCUCUCUCCAGCCCUGAACUGUGGCCAGCACAGUGUGUCAGCCUGUACCAGCUGCCGGUAUGGGUGACCUGGGCACAGGCAAGGCCAUCAUCAUCACACACUGUGUGCACCAGAACUCCUCUUGGCAUCUCCAAGCCAGUUCACCAUUGUGUGAACUGUGCACUGAAGGAGCUCCACUGGGACUCAGAGGCCUUGGCACAACUGCAGCUGUGGAACAUUGCGAUGAGGAAAGAUUGGGAAAAUGACAAGAGCCCAUUGUCUGGAAUUCAUAGGUGCAUUGAUUGUCUUCAGUAUCACCAGCCCAGCCCCAUUUGAAGCAGAGCCAAAGUGGAAAAAUGAUUUGGACUAAACGUUAACUCAUGGCAGACCAGUUUCUGUGGUUCUGUUGGCCAAGAAAUGUGACCAUGGGAGGAUGAAUGCAGAAACAGCAGCCUCAAGAUGGGCCAGAUCUACAUGGAACAUAGUUUUGUAGGAUAAAUUGAAACAUCAGCAAAAGAAAAUGUGAACUUUGAUGAAGCCUCCAGGUGCCUGGAUGCCAAAUAGACAAAUACAGAAUAUAAGAAAACACAAUAAGAGUCAUUGGCCCCGUGCCUAUUUGGCAUCAUUGCAAGAA
rnacentral:lncRNA from 1 species